GGAAACCAAAGGCACCCAGGGGCUGGGGGAGCCCGAAGAUUUGGCGGGGAGGAACGAGAGAAACCGAGAUUGGCUGGGAGCUGUCCAAGAGAGUCAAAAGGGGUGGAGAACCUACUUCCUUUUCUCCAAGACCGUGGUUGAUCGACCUUCCUCCCUCAGGCUCCUUCUUGACAGUCUUCUAGAAGGGAGAAGAGGGAAAAGAAGCAGUUCCUGAUGCAGAUGAACAGCUGCUCCCAGUUGUGACGUCAUGGCCGAGCUCCCACACUUACGUUGUGAAACUAGGUAUGCUGAAGGGUGGAGUCAGCAUGAGGAGCAGACACCCAAAGAGAGGCUUCUCCCUGCGAGGUCUGUCUGAAAUCCGUCUUCCACAAGCUCCACCACGGCUUCUGCUAUCCCAGAUCUUCAACAGUUGCAGUUCUGAUUGGUCAGCCCUCAGCUUUUGCAUUUCUUAGGAGACCGGGCACAGGAUGGUGGAGUGUGGUUCCCCUAAGUGAUGCAGAAACUUGCCAUAUCCAUUUGGGUUGUCCCGGGGGUAGAUACACGUUUUGGGGUGCCUGAAACACAACUUUUGGAGCCUUUGAAAAGAAAAAUACAUUAGGCACAAAAGUGAAAACAGUUUAGAAUGAGAAAAGAUAAAAUUUUUAAGGAGCUGACAAAUACCACA
rnacentral:lncRNA from 1 species